rnacentral:tRNA from 1 species
AGGGAAAUAGCUCAGUGGCAGAGCACAUGCUUAGCAUGCAUGAGGUCCUGGGUUCAAUCCCCAGUACCUCCA